GACGAACGCUGGCGGCGUGCCUAAUACAUGCAAGUCGAACGCAGUGGGGACGGGUGAGUAACACGUGGGUAACGUCCCGUCAGAGGGGAUAACACUUGGCAACAGGUGCUAAAACCGAUAUUGAUGGAUGGACCCGCGGUGCAUUAGCUAGUUGGUGAGGUAACGGCUCACCAAGGCGACGAUGCAUACCCGACCUGAGAGGAUGAUCAGCCACACUGGGACUGAGACACGGCCCAGACUCCUACGGGAGGCAGCAGUAGGGAAUCUUCAGCAAUGGACGAAAGUCUGACCGAGCAACGCCGCGUGUGUGAAGAAGGUUUUCGGGUCGUAAAACACUGUUGUUAGAGAAGCGGUAUCUAACCAGAAAGCAACGGCUAACUACGUGCCAGCAGCCGCGGUAAUUC
rnacentral:rRNA from 1 species